rnacentral:rRNA from 1 species
CCUACGGGUGGCUGCAGUGGGGAAUAUUGGACAAUGGGGGCAACCCUGAUCCAGCCAUGCCGCGUGUGUGAAGAAGGCCCUCGGGUUGUAAAGCACUUUCAGUGAGGAAGAACGCCUGGUGGUUAAUACCCAUCAGGAAAGACAUCACUCACAGAAGAAGCACCGGCUAACUCCGUGCCAGCAGCCGCGGUAAUACGGAGGGGCGAGCGUUAAUCGGAAUUACUGGGCGUAAAGCGCGCGUAGGUGGCUUGAUAAGCCGGUUGUGAAAGCCCCGGGCUCAACCUGGGAACGGCAUCCGGAACUGUCAAGCUAGAGUGCAGGAGAGGAAGGUAGAAUUCCCGGUGGAGCGGUGAAAUGCGUAGAGAUCGGGAGGAAUACCAGUGGCGAAGGCGGCCUUCUGGACUGACACUGACACUGAGGUGCGAAAGCGUGGGUAGCAAACAGGAUUAGAUACCCGAGUAGUC